rnacentral:lncRNA from 1 species
UUUCUUAGAUAAUUAUACAUGAACCAUGAAAAUAACUCACGGAAAAGAUCCCAAACUAAACAAACAUGGCUAAAAGUGGGGUUUUUAUCUUUUCCUUAAACUAAGUAAGUUUAACAGAAUGGAAUUCCAAUAACAUAUAUAAAGAAGAAAACGACAAUUUAACUAAUUUUUAACAGAUUUACAUGAUGAUAACACUAAUAUAACAUUCAUCUUGAAACAAAAUCAGAUCUAACAUGUUCUAUCAACCAAAUCGGGAUCAAAUCCUUCUUAUUAUCAUCAAGAAUCUGCAAUAUAAGAAUUUGAAAGUUACCUGAUUUGCAGAAUAAUAAAAUACAGCAGUGCAACAACAAAAAUUCAACAGCAAAUACAGUAGAAACAACAUCAACUAAAGUGUUAAGUUGCCCAGAAAACUUAACAAAGAUGCUUGAAACUGAUAGCUAUCAACUUCACAAAUUGCUUCAGGGAUCUUUCUAUUUUUCUCAAAGUUUUUGCACUCAAAUAAUACUCACAAAGCUCUGAAAUUUCAGCUUGCUAUAUGUAUUAAGUUGCUGAUUUUUCUCAAAGAUAUAUGUCUUUAAGCAACUAUUCAAGAUGUAUCUCAGUGUAAGAUAGAGUGUCUGCCUUCUUCAGUGAGUAAGGAUAGCCCUUUAAAUAGGCAAAUAAAUUAGAUUUUUUGGACAGAUUUUGGUUUACUAAAAGUUUGUCCAAAAGAUCGAUUUUGUGUGCUAAACACUGUUCAAAAGUUGUCAAAAAAGUAUUGUAUUUGUCACCACACAAUGACUUUUGAGUUUUGCACUCCAAAGUCUUUGCACAGUAAAAACAACCCAACUUGUACUAUUCCUUCUUUAAUUUCAGCUUUUAUCAACACAAAAUUCAAAUACUCAAAUCUAAUAAAAACAAAUUUACUAAGCACUUGAAACUUUUAGCAUAAACUAUCAUGACUAAGCAAAUAGUUAUUUCAAAACUAAUGAAUAACUAAUUAUCAGUGAUUAAUAACUAUGAACGACUAAGUUAACAUAGUAAACACAACUAAUAAUAAAAAUAUAAAUAAAUAAAAAAAAUCAUAAAUUAUGCUAGACAUAAACUAAAUACAAUAUAAUUAAAAAAAAUAGACAAAGGAAAUGAGAAUAGGGGUAUACCAAACGAGGGCAUUCAGGAUGGUAGCCGGAAUUUGGCCGGAUUUUUAGUUGCUAGAUUUUCGGGAUGGAAUUGACACCAAUAGGUAGGUCUUGAUGAGAUAUAUCCGCUGAUGUAAGUAUUGUGGGGGUGGUAGUGGCCGGAACUUCAAGAGUUUGGGCAAAAAAGUGGCGGCUAAAGUUUUCUAGAUCUAAAAUUUAAGGAGUUUGAGGUAUUUUUUGAAGGAUUUGGUUUAGAGAUAUGGAAAAAGGAGGUUGUGGAGAUUACAUGGUGUGAAUUUGGAGGUGUUUGGAGGUUGGCCGCCGCCGGUGGGCGAUUUCCGGCGUGCGACAGUGGUGGUGGGGGGGCGGAUAUGGGAGAGAGAAGAGAGAGAGAGAGAAGAGAGAGGAAGAAGAAAAGAAUUAUGGGGGAAAUGAGGGCAUUUUUCAGAUUUU